UACAGAGGGUGCGAGCGUUGUUCGGAAUUAUUGGGCGUAAAGGGUGCGUAGGCGGCGCGGUAAGUCGGGUGUGAAAUCUCGGAGCUUAACUCCGAAACUGCAUUCGAUACUGCCGUGCUUGAGGACUGGAGAGGAGACUGGAAUUUACGGUGUAGCGGUGAAAUGCGUAGAUAUCGUAAGGAAGACCAGUGGCGAAGGCGGGUCUCUGGACAGUUCCUGACGCUGAGGCACGAAGGCCAGGGGAGCAAACGGG
rnacentral:rRNA from 1 species